CCCCCUCCCCGUCCCAUCCCUGUCCCCGUCCCGUCCCAUCCCUGUCCCCGUCCCGCCCCCCGCAAAGCGCCUAGCCGGGGGUCCCCGCCGAAGGAGCUCCCUCCGCGGCCCCUCAGCUGGAGCUCGUCCCGCCCCUGCUCGGCGCGGGCUCAGGGUUACGGUCACCAGCGUCAUUAAAACUCUACAGUGCGGCCGCAGACCCGACUGUAACCACAGAGCGUCGUUUUAACACAAGCCGAAGCAAAGAGCUCACUACUUUCUUUUAAUUCGCCUUUCAAAUACGGCCUCCCUCAACGAAAGCCUGCUUUACCAUUACAGUGUGAUUGAUGAACUACUGUUUGAACGUAACUCAUCACACAUUCCAUAUUUUGUAUUUAAUAUGUAUUACAUGUAAGUUGUUUAAAGAUAUAUGAACAUCAGUGAACUGUCCCUGGCUAAGCUAAGCACAAACCUGGGAUAAAAUGAAGCACUGAGAGUUUAGACCAGUGAACUAGUGCCAGAAACUUGUACUGGCACAAUGGAUGGGGUCGAUCAAGGACAGACAAAGUGUCUGGAUACUUCUUCAGCAGCAGUGCCAGCCAGUGGCAGCUUAAGCUGCCAAUGAAGUUGGACUUGAAUCUUACAUAAAGUGGGAUCUCACAGGUCUGUAAUAUAGGUAUGAUUCCAGAUCUGCAAAGCUUAUGGGCUCUUAAAUCCAAUCUGUUUCAAAUCCAUGCAGGAACCUCCAUGAAGAGUGUGUACAUGUGUGUAUGUGGGGGAGAGGGAUGGGAACCUGGGCAGAAGUAGGACUGGGAAACCACUAAGUAACAGCUCUGUCAGUAUCCUGUGGAAACUGUGUGAUGGAGUUGUUGUUCAGGAGGCAAAAGUCCAUAUUCAGGGCUCUGACAGGCAGACACAAAGAACCUGGGGCAACACACAGAAUUUGCCAGGAAAGCAGGGAAGAGACACAAACAGAAAGCAAUUUUCUCGUUGUUUCAUCACAGCACAAUUCCUGUUUGUUCUUUGUUUCCCU